ensembl:lncRNA
GCCAUGAGCCUUGGAGCAAAUCUACACCAAACACAGAAAGCAUGUGUUUUUUUUUUUUUUGUUGUUUUUUGUUUUGUUUUUUGUUUUAAAGAGAAUUUUGCUCAUGAAUUAAACAUGGCCCAUAUGGAAUAAGUGAUGAAGGAAAAAGGCUUCUUGCUGAUGCAGAGGUUGCUCUCAAACAUCUUUCCUCCUGAUGAACACACAGCUUCCACGUUGUCUUUCUCACUGAAGGGAAAGAAUGACUGAAUCGUUCUGUUCCAGUGCAGGGUCGAGGUGGGUGCAGCAUGUCUGGUUCACUCAGACAGGCGUGGAGUGUGAGAGUCAAGAUGACCACGAAUGACAGCAAGCACACCUACCUAUAUAAACCUGAACCUGAGUCAAAGCACUGACAAACAUCUGACUGGACACAAGUACUUUUUGCAUUAUGAUCCUUAAAAUGUUGUCAUUCGUGAUCAUCUUGACUGUGGUGCUCCACACUAGUCUGAGUGAGCUGGACAUGUGGUACCCAUCUAAGCCCUGCACUAAAGCAAAGAACCUGGAUGGGUAUGACACUUUCCUGAACCACCACCUUCGUAAGGACGCACCAAAUGAUCCACGCAAACUAAGAGAAUGGCAGAAGUUCAUCACCAAAAUCAACACCUGGAACAGGCCGAUUCAGUCAUUCCUUCCCUUCAGAGAAGCAAGAAGGGUGAUAGCUGUGUGUUCAUCAGCAGGAAAAAUGUAUGAAGGGAACCUCUGCAUCAGCAAGAAGCCUUUCACAUUCUUCACUGUUGAGAUCGCAGCUAAGAAGCAAGUCAAGAGAGUCAAGGUUCAGGAACAACAUGUUAUUCUUGGCUGUGAUAAAAUUAAAACUAAAUGUCUACCUAUUCAUUUUGAGGCAAAUGUAAAUGAUGAUAUACCAGAUGAUAUCGAACCUGACUGCAGCAAAGCAAUGGCAAAUUCAAGCUUUAUUACAUUCGAGGAGCUGUUUCAUGUCUAGACACAUGACCUGCAGAAUUCAGGUCACUUUUGUUCUUUUAUUUCUAUGUAACCAAUGAUGAAACUACAGUAAUUAGAGGAUGUCUGCUGACAUAAUGCAUUCUGUAUGUACACACACAAACAAACACGAAUAUUGCUUUCUAUGCUUUUGCUUCAUUAUUUCUUUCAUUUAAAUAAAAAUUUUAAUGCAUAAUAAA